rnacentral:rRNA from 1 species
UAAGACAGAGGUGCCGAGCGUUAGGCGGAAUCACUGGGCUUAAAGCGUGUGUAGGCGGACGGGUAAGUACCUUGUGAAAUCCCACGGCUCAACCGUGGAACGGCUGGGUAGACUGCCCGUCUUGGGCCGCUCAGGGGCUGUCGGAACAAAUGGUGGAGCGGUGAAAUGCGUAGAUAUCAUUUGGAACGCCGACGGUGAAAACAGACAGCUGGGGGCGUGCCGACGCUGAGACACGAAAGCCAGGGGAGCGAACGGGAUUAGAUACCCCGGUAGUCCUGGCCCUAAACGAUGUCGACUAGGUCAUGGCGGCUCUGACGCCGUCAUGGCCGAAGCAAAAGUGCUAAGUCGACCGCCUGGGAAGUACGGUCGCAAGGCUA